rnacentral:siRNA from 1 species
GCACAUCGGUUCCUAAAUGGCUCU